rnacentral:rRNA from 1 species
UGAGGAACAUGACCUUCGGCGGGGGAUAGCCGGCCCAACGGCCGGGUAAUACCGCGUACGACCUUUCGGGGACAUCCCCGGAUGGUGAAAGCAGCAAUGCGCCGAUGGAGUGCCUCGCGGCCUAUCAGCUUGUUGGUGGGGUGAUGGCCUACCAAGGCGAUGGACGGGUAGCCGGCUGAGAGGGCGACCGGCCACACUGGGACUGAGACACGGCCCAGACCUCCGUACGGGGAGGCAG